AUGAAAAGAGUAGUAACAAAUUGUUAUUAAAAACACUUAUGAUUUAUGAACAAUUUCAGGAGGUUUGUAAACAUUUUAUGGCAUCAAAUA